CCAAAGUGAUGAACUUAUUACCGCCCCAGUCUGAUUGUUCAUGACUGAUUGGUCUUUCUGAUCUCAG